UCAGAUGAUUAUCGCACUGGGGCCUGAGCAGUUUAAUAAACUGUAUCUUUUGAUGGACAAUGCAGCCUUGCAAGCUAUGUCUGGUCA
rnacentral:snoRNA from 1 species